CAGGCUGCAACUCGCCUGCAUGAAGUCGGAAUUGCUAGUAAUCGCAGAUCAGCAUGCUGCGGUGAAUACGUUCCCGGGCCUUGUACGCACCGCCCGUCACACCAUGGGAGUCGGUAACACCCGAAGUCGGUAGCCUAACCGUAAGGAGGGCGCCGCCGAAGGUGGGAUUGAUGACUGGGGUGAAGUCGUAACAAGGUAUC
rnacentral:rRNA from 1 species